AGGUGACGACCCGCAGGGAGCCUGACAGGUGUUGCAUGGCUGUCGUCAGCUCGUGUCGUGAGAUGUUCGGUUAAGUCCGCUAACGAGCGCAACCCUCGCCGCGUGUUAUACGUGUCACGCGGGACCGCCGGUAUUAAGCCGGAGGAAGGCGGGGAUGACGUCAAGUCAGCAUGGCCUUUAUGCCUGGGGCUACACACACGCUACAAUGGGCAGUACAAUGGGUUGCCAAGCCGCGAGGUGGAGCCAAUCCCGCAAAACUGUCCUCAGUUCAGAUUGCAGGCUGCAACUCGCCUGCAUGAAGCUGGAGUUGCUAGUAAACGCGCGUCAGCUAUAGUGCGUUGAAUACGUUCUCGGGUCUG
rnacentral:rRNA from 1 species